rnacentral:rRNA from 1 species
CCCUUAGAUGUUCUGGGCUGCACGCGCGCUACACUGAUGCGUUCAUCGAGUAUAUAACCUUGCCUGGAAAGGUUGGGUAAUCUUCUCAAAACGCAUCGUGAUGGGGAUAGAUUAUUGCAAUUAUUAAUCUUCAACGAGGAAUUCCUAGUAAGCGCGAGUCAUCAGCUCGUGCUGAUUACGUCCCUGCCCUUUGUACACACCGCCCGUCGCUCCUACCGAUUGAGUGAUUCGGUGAAUAAUUCGGACUGCCGCAGCUUUCAGCAAUGGCAGCUGCAGCGGGAAGUCUGGUAAACCUCAUCACUUAGAGGAAGGAGAAGUCGUAACA